rnacentral:rRNA from 1 species
GUGGGGAAUAUUGGACAAUGGGCGAAAGCCUGAUCCAGCCAUGUCGCGUGUGUGAAGAAGGUCUUCGGAUUGUAAAGCACUUUAAGUUGGGAGGAAGGGCAGUAAGUUAAUACCUUGCUGUUUUGACGUUACCGACAGAAUAAGCACCGACUAACUUCGUGCCAGCAGCCGCGGUAAUACGAAGGGUGCAAGCGUUAAUCGGAAUUACUGGGCGUAAAGCGCGCGUAGGUGGUUUUGUAAGUUGGAGGUGAAAUCCCCGGGCUCAACCUGGGAACUGCCUACAAAACUGCAUGACUAGAGUACGGUAGAGGGUAGUGGAAUUUCCUGUGUAGCGGUGAAAUGCGUAGAUAUAGGAAGGAACACCAGUGGCGAAGGCGACUACCUGGACUGAUACUGACACUGAGGUGCGAAAGCGUGGGGAGCAAACAGGAUUAGAAACCCUAGUAGUCC